GAUGAACGCUAGCUACAGGCUUAACACAUGCAAGUCGAGGGGAAACGACAUCGAAAGCUUGCUUUUGAUGGGCGUCGACCGGCGCACGGGUGAGUAACGCGUAUCCAACCUGCCCAUCACUUGGGAAUAACCUUGCGAAAGUAAGACUAAUACCCAAUGACAUCCCACGAAGACAUCUGAAUGGGAUUAAAGAUUUAUCGGUGAUGGAUGGGGAUGCGUCUGAUUAGCUUGUUGGCGGGGUAACGGCCCACCAAGUCAACGAUCAGUAGGGGUUCUGAGAGGAAGGUCCCCCACAUUGGAACUGAGACACCGUCCAUACUCCUACGGGAGGCAGCAGUGAUGAAUAUUGGUCAAUGGGCGAGAGCCUGAACCAGCCAAGUAGCGUGCAGGAUGACGGCCCUAUGGGUUGUAAACUGCUUUUAUAAGGGAAUAACGUGGGUAUCGUGAGACUUUUUGCAUGUACCUUAUGAAUAAGGACCGGCUAAGUCCGUG
rnacentral:rRNA from 1 species